AUUGAACGCUGGCGGCAGGCCUAACACAUGCAAGUCGAGCGGAUGACGGGAGCUUGCUCCUUGAUUCAGCGGCGGACGGGUGAGUAAUGCCUAGGAAUCUGCCUGGUAGUGGGGGACAACGUUUCGAAAGGAACGCUAAUACCGCAUACGUCCUACGGGAGAAAGCAGGGGACCUUCGGGCCUUGCGCUAUCAGAUGAGCCUAGGUCGGAUUAGCUAGUAGGUGAGGUAAUGGCUCACCUAGGCGACGAUCCGUAACUGGUCUGAGAGGAUGAUCAGUCACACUGGAACUGGGACACGGUCCAGACUCCCACGGGAGGCAGCAGUGGGGAAUAUUGGACAAUGGGCGAAAGCCUGAUCCAGCCAUGCCGCGUGUGUGAAGAAGGUCUUCGGAUUGUAAAGCACUUUAAGUUGGGAGGAAGGGUUGUACGUUAAUACCGUGCAAUUUUGACGUUACCGACAGAAUAAGCACCGGCUAACUCUGUGCCAGCCGCCGCGGUAAUAC
rnacentral:rRNA from 1 species